CAAUAGCGUAUAUUAAAGUUGUUGCAGUUAAAAAGCUCGUAGUUGGAUUUCUGGUUGAAGCGACCGGUCGGGCGUUGAUUCGUCUGCACUGGAGUCGGUUUUGGCCAUCCUCUAGGAAAGUGCGUCUGGUAUUACGUUAUCGGGCGUAUGAUCCUGGUCUUUUACUGUGAAAAAAUUAGAGUGUUUAAAGCAGGCCUUCGCCUUGAAUACAUUAGCAUGGAAUAAUAAGAUAGGACUUUGGUCUAUUUUGUUGGUUUGCAGACCGAAGUAAUGAUUAAUAGGGAUAGUUGGGGGUAUUUAUAUUCCGAUGUCAGAGGUGAAAUUCUUAGAUUUUCGGAAGAUAAACUUAUGCGAAAGCAUUUACCAAGGAUGUUUUCAUUAA
rnacentral:rRNA from 1 species